rnacentral:rRNA from 1 species
UACGUAGGUGGCGAGCGUUGUCCGGAUUUACUGGGCGUAAAGGGCGUGCAGGCGGUUUGUUAAGUGCAGAGUGAAAGCUCCCGGCUCAACUGGGAGAGGUCUUUGCAUACUGGCAAACUCGAGGGAGGCAGAGGAAAGUGGAAUUCCCGGUGUAGUGGUGAUAUGCGCAGAUAUCAGGAGGAACACCGGUGGCGAAGGCGGGUCUCUGGGCCGAUACUGACGCUGAGGAGCGAAAGCGUGGGGAGCGAACAGG